rnacentral:rRNA from 1 species
UGGGGAAUAUUGGACAAUGGGCGCAAGCCUGAUCCAGCCAUGCCGCGUGAGUGACGAAGGUCUUCGGAUUGUAAAACUCUUUUGGCGGGGACGAUAAUGACGGUACCCGCAGAAUAAGCCCCGGCUAACUUCGUGCCAGCAGCCGCGGUAAUACGAAGGGGGCUAGCGUUGUUCGGAAUCACUGGGCGUAAAGCGCACGUAGGCGGAUGUGCCAGUCAGGGGUGAAAUCCCGGAGCUCAACCUCGGAACUGCCUUCAAAACUGGCGACCUGGACCUAAGUAGAGGCAAGUGGAAUUGCGAGUGUAGAGGUGAAAUUCGUAGAUAUUCGCAGGAACACCAGUGGCGAAGGCGACUUGCUGGACUUAUGGUGACGCUGAGACGCGAAAGCGUGGGGAGCAAACGGGAUUAGAUACCCCAGUAGUCCCUGAGCGGGCUGGCAAGGCGCAU